UGUGCAUGAGUUGUUUAGAAUAAAUGCCGGCGCCAUUGGGCCAGAGCAAAGACUAUGGACUCCUCGUUUUUAUGAAGAAACCACAAUUAAACAUGGUGGCAUCGGCGGUGGAUUCUUGCCCAGUCUCUGAGUGGUUUGCUGCAGAUCAAUCAGACAUCAAUUGCUAACUGUUAGCGAAGAUUAGAAGCUGGUCUGCUGGCAGACAGGAAGUAAUCUACAAGUCAUAUGAUACUGCUACCGAUUAGAUCUCACACCACACAUCACUCCAAGGGACUUUUCAUUUUCCAAGUCCUAUUUCGGGGAUUCUAAAUGGGCUCGGGAAAAACCAUUUUCUGAGGACUGCACCUCCAUGUUGAGUCUCCUCCUCCCAAAGCUUCAUCAGCAAGUUUCCCCAGAUGACCCAUCCUCACAAUCAACCCAUUCAUUCC